rnacentral:lncRNA from 1 species
ACAAAAAACUAAGCCUUUUGAUGCUACAACAAGAUAACAUUAUGGAAGCCCUGCAGCCUAGUUCAACAGGCACUGCUGAGAGCUCACUGCAGUCAUAAAUAGAGGUUUUCACCUUGAAGAUGCCAUCCCUCCCCCGUUAGGUCAGAAGUAUAUCAAGAAUGGGAACUUGAAAUCCUCACACCAAAUGUGACGUGGUAGAAAAACAGAGUGGUAUAGUAAUGCGAGUAGGAUCUGGACUCCCAAUUUCCUAUCAGAAUUCACAUUCCUGGUGGACUUAUUUGCUGUGGUUUGUGGGAUGUUGAACAAGUCACUUGCCUCUCACAGUCUCAGCUUCUGUAUCUGUAAAAUAAGACAAGAAUUAUAGUGACCCCAUAGGCUUGCUGUGAGGAUCACCUGAGCCAUACAUUCCAA